ensembl:snoRNA
AGCGAGGCUAGAGUCACGUCUGGGUAUUCGCCUGUUGCCCUGGCGUGCUAGAGCUCUCGUAGAGGAACAGAUCUCUGCCUAUUCAUUGGCUGUAGUCUCUCGUGGCCCAGCUAAUCACCAGCUGAGAUACACCG